CUCAGGAUGAACGCUAGCGGCAGGCCUAAUACAUGCAAGUCGAGGGUAGUCAAAGCUUGCUUUUGAUGAGACCGGCGAACGGGUGCGUAACGCGUAUGCAAUUUACCUUAUACUGAGGGAUAGCCCAGGGAAGCUUGGAUUAAUACCUCAUGGCAUCACACCAAGGCAUCUUGGGGUGAUUAAAGAUUUAUCGGUAUGAGAUGAGCAUGCGUAAGAUUAGCUAGUUGGUGAGGUAACUGCUCACCAAGGCGACGAUCUUUAGGGGGUCUGAGAGGAUAAUCCCCCACACUGGCACUGAGAUACGGGCCAGACUCCUACGGGAGGCAGCAGUAGGGAAUAUUGGUCAAUGGGCGAAAGCCUGAACCAGCCAUGCCGCGUGCAAGCGAAGGCCUUCGGGUCGUAAAUUGCUUUAUACGAGAGAAAAGUCCCUAGCGGGGAAAAUUGCCGGGUAUCGUAUGAAUAAGCACGGCUAACUCCGUG
rnacentral:rRNA from 1 species